CAAGUGUCUAACGGGACUGCCGGUUUAAUACCGGAGGAAGGUGGGGAUGACGUCAAGUCAGCAUGGCCUCUAUGUCCAGGGCUACACACACGCUACAAUGGCCGGUACAGUGGGUUGCCAAACCGCGAGGUGGAGCUAAUCCUCAAAGCCGGUCUCAGUUCGGAUUGUAGGCUGCAACUCGCCUGCAUGAAGUCGGAGUUGCUAGUAACCGCGCGUCAGCUAUAGCGCGGUGAAUACGUUCCCGGGCCUU
rnacentral:rRNA from 1 species